rnacentral:rRNA from 1 species
UAACAGGAUUCCCCUAGUAACUGCGAGUGAAGCGGGAAAAGCUCAAAUUUAAAAUCUGACGGUUUUGCCGUCCGAGUUGUAAUCUGGAGAAGCGUUUUCCGCGUUGGACUGUGUACAAGUCUCUUGGAACAGAGCGUCAUAGAGGGUGAGAAUCCCGUCCAUGCCACAGACUCCCAAUGCUUUGUGAUACGCUCUCGAAGAGUCGAGUUGUUUGGGAAUGCAGCUCAAAAUGGGUGGUAAGCUCCAUCUAAAGCUAAAUAUUGGCGAGAGACCGAUAGCGAACAAGUACCGUGAGGGAAAGAUGAAAAGCACUUUGGAAAGAGAGUUAAACAGUACGUGAAAUUGUUGAAAGGGAAACGCUGGACGUCAGUCGCGUCUUACUGGACUCAGCCUUGCCUCGGCUUGGUGUAUUUCCUGUGAGACGGGUCAACAUCGAUUUCGACCGGUGGACAAGGGGGUAGGGAAUGUGGCACGCCUCGGCGUGUGUUAUAGCCCUGCCUCGUAUGCAUCGGUGGGGAUCGAGGCCCGCAGCGCGCCUUUUUGGCCGGAGGUUCGCCUCACGUAUCGCGCUUAGGAUGUUGGCAUAAUGGCGUUCAGCGACCCGUCUUGAAACACGGACCAAGGAGUCUAACAUGCUCGCGAGUGUUUGGGUGGAAAACCCUUGCGCGAAAUGAAAGUGAAUGUUGAGAGCCUCCGCAAGGGGGUGCAUCGACGCCCGGCCCUGAAGUUCUCUGACGGUGCUGCGGUUGAGCGCGUAUGUUGGGACCCGAAAGAUGGUGAACUAUGCCUGAAUAGGGCGAAGCCAGAGGAAACUCUGGUGGAGGCUCGUAGCGAUUCUGACGUGCAAAUCGAUCGUCAAAUUUGGG